rnacentral:tRNA from 1 species
GGUGGCGUAGCUCAACCGGAUAGAGCGCCUUGCUUGCUGGUAUUCUUGUUAUCCUAGCAGAAGACAAAAUACGGCAGGGUAGAUGCAGGUUCAAGUCCUGUCGUCACCUCCA